GAAUCACCCACCUGGUGUCCCAGGUCUAAACCAGGCCCUGAUUAGAGGGGAAUCACACACCUGGUGUCCCAGGUCUAAACCAGGCCCUGAUUAGAGGGGAAACGAUGUAGAAAUGCGUUGGAACUGGCUUGGAGUUUCAGAGUUGAGUUUCGGCUGCUGGAUAGGCUGAUCUGAUCCAGUAAAAUCACUGUCUCCAGCACCUGGAGCUUUAUUGGGUGUGCAGGCUUUUGUUUCAGCCCAGUACUAACACACUUUUUAGACCACGAUUAGCUGAAUUGGGGGUGUUAGUGCUGGGCUGAAACAAAAGCUAUGACCCUACAGUAUGUAGCUCCGUGUCUGCUUUCUCUCUCUGAACUAUGAGAAUCCUCUUAACGCUCCUGUGACUCGACACGCCUGCUCUGUCAGCGUUUAGACUCUGGGGGGGGGUCAACCAGGUUUAGACUCUGGGGCUGGGUAGAUGGGGGUCAACCAGGUUUAGACUCUGGGGGGGGGGUCAACCAGGUUUAGACUCUGGGGCUGGGUAGAUGGGGGUCAACCAGGUUUAGACUCUGGGGCUGGGUAGAUGGGGGUAAACCAGGUUUAGAAUCUGGGGCUGGGUAGAUGGGGGUCAACCAGGUUUAGACUCUGGGGCUGGGUAGAUGGGGGUCAACCAGGUUUAGACUCUGGGGGGGGGGGUCAACCAGGUUUAGACUCUGGGGCUGGGUAGAUGGGGGUCAACCAGGUUUAGACUCUGGGGCUGGGUAGAUGGGGGUCAACCAGGUUUAGACUCUGGGGCUGGGUAGAUGGGGGUCAACCAGGUUUAGACUCUGGGGCUGGGUAGAUGGGGGUCAACCAGGUUUAGACUCUGGGGCUGGGUAGAUGGGGGUCAACCAGGUUUAGACUCUGGAGCUGGGUAGAUGGGGGUCAACCAGGUUUAGACUCUGGAGCUGGGUAGAUGGGGUCAACCAGGUUUAGACUCUGGAGCUGGGUAGAUGGGGUCAACCAGGUUUAGACUCUGGAGCUGGGUAGAUGGGGGUCAACCAGGUUUAGACUCUGGAGCUGGGUAGAUGGGGUCAACCAGGUUUAGACUCUGGGGCUGGGUAGAUGGGGGUCAACCAGGUUUAGACUCUGGGGCUGGGUAGAUAGGGGUCAACCAGGUUUAGACUCUGGAGCUGGGUAGAUGGGGUCAACCAGGUUUAGACUCUGGAGCUGGGUAGAUGGGGUCAACCAGGUUUAGACUCUGGAGCUGGGUAGAUGGGGGUCAACCAGGUUUAGACUCUGGGGCUGGGUAGAUGGGGGUCAACCAGGUUUAGACUCUGGAGCUGGGUAGAUGGGGGUCAACCAGGUUUAGACUCUGGAGCUGGGUAGAUGGGGGUCAACCAGGUUUAGACUCUGGAGCUGGGUAGAUGGGGGUCAACCAGGUUUAGACUCUGGAGCUGGGUAGAUGGGGUCAACCAGGUUUAGACUCUGGAGCUGGGUAGAUGGGGGUCAACCAGGUUUAGACUCUGGGGCUGGGUAGAUAGGGGUCAACCAGGUUUAGACUCUGGAGCUGGGUAGAUGGGGGUCAACCAGGUUUAGACUCUGGAGCUGGGUAGAUGGGGUCAACCAGGUUUAGACUCUGGAGCUGGGUAGAUGGGGGUCAACCAGGUUUAGACUCUGGAGCUGGGUAGAUGGGGGUCAACCAGGUUUAGACUCUGGAGCUGGGUAGAUGGGGGUCAACCAGGUUUAGACUCUGGAGCUGGGUAGAUGGGGUCAACCAGGUUUAGACUCUGGAGCUGGGUAGAUGGGGGUCAACCAGGUUUAGACUCUGGAGCUGGGUAGAUGGGGGUCAACCAGGUUUAGACUCUGGAGCUGGGUAGAUGGGGGUCAACCAAGUUUAGACUCUGGAGCUGGGUAGAUGGGGUCAACCAGGUUUAGACUCUGGAGCUGGGUAGAUGGGGGUCAACCAAGUUUAGACUCUGGAGCUGGGUAGAUGGGGUCAACCAGGUUUAGACUCUGGAGCUGGGUAGAUGGGGUCAACCAGGUUUAGACUCUGGAGCUGGGUAGAUGGGGGUCAACCAGGUUUAGACUCUGGAGCUGGGUAGAUGGGGUCAACCAGGUUUAGACUCUGGAGCUGGGUAGAUGGGGUCAACCAGGUUUAGACUCUGGAGCUGGGUAGAUGGGGUCAACCAGGUUUAGACUCUGGAGCUGGGUAGACUCUAUGUUACCACAGUACAAUUUACUCUCACACAGGCAACCUUGGUCUUGAUUUAGUUACAAUAAUUUUGUUGCAUGGGUAACCUCAUAUUAUUUUCUGGUCUAUUUGUAUUAGAUUAGUCGUUAAAGCACAAUUGCGCUGUUGCCGUGGUGAAACGAGUUGAUGCCAUAUGCUGUCAGAUUGGUUCUCUUGUGCUGAUCGUGUUUAGAACGUCUUCAUGCAGACUACUAGCAAACUGUAUGUUUCAGCUGUUAUGGGAGAUGGAUACUUUAAAAUUCGUCACAGGACAUGUUGCUUCUGGAAUCUCCAAUGGUCUCUUUCCACUGUAACCACAGCCCUAGUGUCUGGCCUGAGACUUUCCCUGGUGUCUGGCCUGAGACUUUCCCUGGACUUAAACCCUGGUGUUGCACCAAGUGCAAUUGGACCUCCAUCUCCUAGCCUGGUCCCAGAUCUGCACAUCUCCUAGCCUGGUCCCAGAUCUGCACAUCUCCUAGCCUGGUCCCAGAUCUGCACAUCUCCUAGCCUGGUCCCAGAUCUGCACAUCUCCUAGCCUGGUCCCAGAUCUGUCCAUCUCCUAGCCUGGUCCCAGAUCUGUCCAUCUCCUAGCCUGGUCCCAGAUCUGCACAUCUCCUAGCCUGGUCCCAGAUCUGCACAUCUCCUAGCCUGGUCCCAGAUCUGCACAUCUCCUAGCCUGGUCCCAGAUCUGCACAUCUCCUAGCCUGGUCCCAGAUCUGUCCAUCUCCUAGCCUGGUCCCAGAUCUGUCCAUCUCCUAGCCUGGUCCCAGAUCUGUCCAUCUCCUAGCCUGGUCCCAGAUCUGUCCAUCUCCUAGCCUGGUCCCAGAUCUGUUUGUGCACUGUCUUGACCGUAGGCUACCGGUUUCCUACUCUGCUGAUGAGACGAAGGAUAUGACGACGAUGUGGUUCUGUUUACUUCUAUCUGUCUUGUCAAAUCUGUUGUUGAUACAAACUUAUAAAUAUUAAUAUGGCAGAUAUUGCAUUUGUCACAAAUGGCACCCUGUUCCUUAUAUAGUGCACUACUUUUGACCAGGGCCUUAUGGGGGGGGGGGGGGUGCACUAUGUAGGGAAUAGGGUGCCAUUUGGGGGACACACACUCUGGCGUUGUUUUUAAUGACAGUAAUAGCAAUAAAGGAAUAUACAGCUCUCUGAACGAGAUGUCGCUGUAUUCCACUAUAACAGGAUAUGAGAAAUAUAUCACAUCCUGUUUCCUGUUUUGAAACAUUUCAGAUUUGUUAUUGGAAGACAAGACCGUAUAUAAAAAAAAAAAAAUAAUAACAUUUCAUCUUUCAGAUUAAAUUUUGUGUUCCAGGAGUUUGAAACAAUUAUUCAAUAUAAUAAAUGUAAAAAUUUAAAGUUAACUAUUUGCUUUAAGUUUUGCAGUUAGCUGACUAGUAGAUGAGUCAAAAUCUUUGGAAUUCUAGUCAAUUCUGAACGUAAAAUCAAUUGCUAUUCCGAGUUGUCCUCCAUUUUUAAAAAGCGUUUUGAAUGGAGAUUUCAGUGGACUUCUUGAAUUGACUGAAAUUGACCCCCAAACCCCUCCUGAUACUAGCACAGUAUGUGGAGGCUUGAACUUGAUUAGGGAGAGGAACAAACUGCUUCAUGAUGUACCCAACUAUCUGUGAAUGAGAGACUGCUUGCCUUGCAGUUCUAGUGGACCAAAGUAUCAAGUGUCUCUGGAGGGUAUGUCCAAAAUCGUACCCUUUUCCCUAAUAUAGUACACCAUUUUUUUUUUUUUUUUUUUUUUGACCAGAGUCAUGUCCCCGGUGGGGGUUGUACUUCACAAACAGGAGAUGGAGUCAUGCUGGCUUGGACAAAGCUACUCUGGUCAAAAGUAGUGCACUAUGUAGGGAACAAAUGGCUCACUGUAGCAGAACGGGGUAUGUUUGGAAUCCAUUCUGUCUAUUUCAAUUGUACAGAUGUUAUAUUAUUUUUUAACAUGUUACGAUAUGUAUAUUUAUGAAGUUUGGUAGAUACCAUUUUUUACUUUUUUUUGCUUUAUGAUGCCUAAUUUAUUUAAAGUUUUUGAUGAUUAUUGGUAUUUAAUCUAUAAGUAGCGGGAAAACAAAAAAGGCGGGACAAACUUCUGUUAAAAAAAAAAAAAAACCUGUUAUAUUUUUUAUUUAAUAUGAAUUGUACUAUGAAGCAAAAUAAUCUACAGCUGGAAACUGUGCCAUAGCAGGAGAAAUUAAAGAUUUAUCAAACCAUA